AGAGUUUGAUCAUGGCUCAGAUUGAACGCUGGCGGCAGGCCUAACACAUGCAAGUCGAGCGGUAGCACAGAGAGCUUGCUCUCGGGUGACGAGCGGCGGACGGGUGAGUAAUGUCUGGGAAACUGCCUGAUGGAGGGGGAUAACUACUGGAAACGGUAGCUAAUACCGCAUAAUGUCGCAAGACCAAAGUGGGGGACCUUCGGGCCUCAUGCCAUCAGAUGUGCCCAGAUGGGAUUAGCUAGUAGGUGGGGUAACGGCUCACCUAGGCGACGAUCCCUAGCUGGUCUGAGAGGAUGACCAGCCACACUGGAACUGAGACACGGUCCAGACUCCUACGGGAGGCAGCAGUGGGGAAUAUUGCACAAUGGGCGCAAGCCUGAUGCAGCCAUGCCGCGUGUGUGAAGAAGGCCUUCGGGUUGUAAAGCACUUUCAGCGGGGAGGAAGGCGGUGAGGUUAAUAACCUCAUCGAUUGACGUUACCCGCAGAAGAAGCACCGGCUAACUCCGUGCCAGCAGCCGCGGUAAUACGGAGGGUGCAAGCGUUAAUCGGAAUUACUGGGCGUAAAGCGCACGCAGGCGGUCUGUCAAGUCGGAUGUGAAAUCCCCGGGCUCAACCUGGGAACUGCAUUCGAAACUGGCAGGCUAGAGUCUUGUAGAGGGGGGUAGAAUUCCAGGUGUAGCGGUGAAAUGCGUAGAGAUCUGGAGGAAUACCGGUGGCGAAGGCGGCCCCCUGGACAAAGACUGACGCUCAGGUGCGAAAGCGUGGGGAGCAAACAGGAUUAGAUACCCUGGUAGUCCACGCCGUAAACGAUGUCGAUUUGGAGGUUGUGCCCUUGAGGCGUGGCUUCCGGAGCUAACGCGUUAAAUCGACCGCCUGGGGAGUACGGCCGCAAGGUUAAAACUCAAAUGAAUUGACGGGGGCCCGCACAAGCGGUGGAGCAUGUGGUUUAAUUCGAUGCAACGCGAAGAACCUUACCUGGUCUUGACAUCCACAGAACUUCCAGAGAUUUGGUGCCUUCGGGAACUGUGAGACAGGUGCUGCAUGGCUGUCGUCAGCUCGUGUUGUGAAAUGUUGGGUUAAGUCCCGCAACGAGCGCAACCCUUAUCCUUUGUUGCCAGCGGUUAGGCCGGGAACUCAAAGGAGACUGCCAGUGAUAAACUGGAGGAAGGUGGGGAUGACGUCAAGUCAUCAUGGCCCUUACGACCAGGGCUACACACGUGCUACAAUGGCAUAUACAAAGAGAAGCGACCUCGCGAGAGCAAGCGGACCUCAUAAAGUAUGUCGUAGUCCGGAUUGGAGUCUGCAACUCGACUCCAUGAAGUCGGAAUCGCUAGUAAUCGUAGAUCAGAAUGCUACGGUGAAUACGUUCCCGGGCCUUGUACACACCGCCCGUCACACCAUGGGAGUGGGUUGCAAAAGAAGUAGGUAGCUUAACCUUCGGGAGGGCGCUUACCACUUUGUGAUUCAUGACUGGGGUGAAGUCGUAACAAGGUAACCGUAGGGGAACCUGCGGUUGGAUCACCU
rnacentral:rRNA from 1 species